rnacentral:misc_RNA from 1 species
UUAAUUAUUAUGUGAUACUCAGACAACAAAAUACUAAGAGUUUGAGGUCCUCUGGCAGGCACUGACCAGCCUGAGCCGGUGGCCGUGAGACGGGCCUGCCAAAGCAACAGAGGCAUUGUAAACAAAGGGUGGGAGAUCUACCCCAAAGGGCAAGUUCUCAGUAAUGAUCCUUCCGCAGGUUCACCUACGGAGA